GCCCGGUUAGCUCAAUCGGUAGAGCGUGAGACUUUUAAAACUCUGUAUUUGUUCAUGAAAUGCGGAAAAAAAGUCAAUCUCAAGGUUGCGGGUUCGACCCCCGCAUCGGGCU
rnacentral:tRNA from 1 species